UACGGAGGGUGCAAGCGUUAUCCUGAUUUACUGGGUUUAAAGGGUGCGCAGGCGGAUAUGUAAGUCAGUGGUGAAAUCUCUGGGCUUAACCCGGAAAUUGCCAUUGAUACUAUAUAUCUUGAAUGUUGUGGAGGUAAGCGGAAUAUGUCAUGUAGCGGUGAAAUGCUUAGAUAUGACAUAGAACACCUAUUGCGAAGGCAGCUUACUACGCAGAUAUUGACGCUCAUGCACGAAAGCGUGGGGAUCAAACAGG
rnacentral:rRNA from 1 species